AUUGAACGCUGGCGGCAGGCCUAACACAUGCAAGUCGAGCGAGCGGCGGACGGGUGAGUAAUGUAUGGGGAUCUGCCCGAUAGAGCGGGAUAACUACUGGAAACGGUAGCUAAUACCGCAUACCAUCGGAUGAACCCAUAUGGGAUUCGCUAGUAUGUGGGGUAAAGGCUCACCUAGGCGACGCUCUCUAGCUGGUCUGAGAGGAUGACAAGGCACACUGGAAAUGAGACACGGCACAGACUCCUACGGUAGGCAGCAGUGGGGAGUAUAGCACAAGGGGAGCAAGGCUGAUGCAGACAUGCCGAGGGGAGGAAGAAGGCCUAAGGGUUGAAAAGUACUUUCAGCGGGGAGGCGUUACUCGCAGAAGAAGCACCGGCUAACUCCGUGCCAGCAGACGCGGUAAUAC
rnacentral:rRNA from 1 species